CUGGUGUUCUUUAUGUUCCCUACAGGAGCUGCCGAUACAAAGGCCUGACCCAGAAGAAAUUCUGCGUCACCUGUACCAUCAAGAUCAAGAUCAAGACACCCGUCAUUGCUAGCUUGGAGUGUUGACAUUGACAGCUUUUGAACAUUUGUGGAGCAGAGGUGCACCAUGGCUUGCCACAAUGUCACAACUGGUCCUUGGAGAGCCGCUGGUGGUGACGGGCUGCCUGUGUCCUCUCUGCGGCAAAACUCACAAAUACUCCACUCACCAAGUUCCAGAGGGAGAGGAUCACCAGACACCACCGGCCGUACUA